AUUUACAAGAUGGGAUAAUUCUGUGUGGACCUAAGAAAAAGAUCAUUGUAGUGGAACAUAGAGAGUAGGUAAAAAGUCAAAACUGUGUGUGUGUGGAGAGAGUAAGAGGUUCUCUGCAGGUCCCAGGAGGUCUCCUGUCAUCUUCAGUAAAGAUGAUACUGGCUUUCAUGCAUUAUUUAUUGUCAAGGGGUAGGCUGAUUCGUUGCUAUGAUUUAUAUACUGCCUGCUAUAACUAAAAUAAUUGUAUCAUAACUGUAAAGAAAUUCUAUUCAGGCUGUCACACAAAGUGGGAGCUCCAUUUUGCUCCACUCUGCCCACUGAUACAGCCAUAUAUAUUUUUGAUAAAAGAAAGCAUUGUUCCUUGAAUUAUACAAUAUAUAUGUAAAUCUAAAUUUUAUUAAUCAAAUUAUUUAUCAACCUAUAUCAAUCAUACUAAUUUCUAAUUCAUAUUUAAUAUUAAGAUACCCCUGUCAUUUUCACUUUUCCUGACUUUUCAGCUUCUGUCAAAUAGUUAACGAUAUUGAAA
rnacentral:lncRNA from 1 species